rnacentral:rRNA from 1 species
AACGAACGCUGGCGGCAUGCCUAACACAUGCAAGUCGAACGAGACCUUCGGGUCUAGUGGCGCACGGGUGCGUAACGCGUGGGAACCUGCCCUUAGGUUCGGAAUAACUCCCCGAAAGGGGUGCUAAUACCGGAUAAUGUCUUCGGACCAAAGAUUUAUCGCCUUUGGAUGGGCCCGCGUUGGAUUAGCUAGUUGGUAGGGUAAAAGCCUACCAAGGCGACGAUCCAUAGCUGGUCUGAGAGGAUGAUCAGCCACACUGGGGCUGAGACACGGCCCAGACUCCUACGGGAGGCAGCAGUGGGGAAUAUUGGACAAUGGGCGAAGGCCUGAUCCAGCAAUGCCGCGUGAGUGAUGAAGGCCUUAGGGUUGUAAAGCUCUUUUACCCGGGAUGAUAAUGACGGUACCGGGAGAAUAAGCUCCGGCUAACUCCGUG